rnacentral:rRNA from 1 species
CCGGGUGGCAGCAGUGGGGGAUAUUGCACAAUGGGGGGAACCCUGCUGCAGCGACGCCGCGUGGGUGAAGGAGCGUUUCGGCGCGUAAAGCCCUAUCGGCAGGGAAGAAGAAGGACGGUACCUGACUAAGAAGCCCCGGCUAACUACGUGCCAGCAGCCGCGGUAAUACGGAGGGGGCACGCGUUAUCCGGAUUGACUGGGUGUAAAGGGGGCGCAGACGGCAGCGCAAGCCAGGAGUGAAAGCCCGGGGCCCAACCCCGGGACUGCUCUUGGAACUGCGCGGCUGGAGUGCAGGAGGGGCAGGCGGAAUUCCUGGUGUAGCGGUGAAAUGCGUAGAUAUCAGGAGGAACACCGGUGGCGAAGGCGGCCUGCUGGACUGCGACUGACGUUGAGGCCCGAAAGCGUGGGGAGCAAACAGGAUUAGAUACCCGAGUAGUC